UUUGAUUGGAAGUCCUCAAUUCCGUAGUGCAUUGCAGUUUGCAAUUAUUUAUUACUGCAAGCAUUGCGGAAGUGAUGCCUAUCAGUUGACAAACAU
rnacentral:pre_miRNA from 12 species